UUUUUGUGUUGCAGAUUUUCUGACUUAAAAUGGAGAUGAAUGACCCGUCAUUAAAGUAGUCUUCAUGGUGAGUGCACAUUUAAAGUGUUGUAACCGAAGCAAAAGUGGUCUCAAGCUGAUGAGUGUGAAUCAGGUCUCUGAUCUCAUUGAGGACAUGGAAGCAUUUCUGAUUUAAGACUGAUUAGAAGUGAGCUUUACCACCUCAAGCUAGGUAGAUUUUAAUGGGUUGAAUCUUGUUUUAGGACUCCCAUCCAGUAUCUUCAUGACUGCCAUCCUUGUAAGUAUUGCUCUUUGUAGUGGAGUCCUUCAGAUCUUGACUAGUGUGAUGAAUCUGAUGUCCACUGACUUAAGCCAUGGAGGAUGGAUAUUAGCUCUGUCUGAUCUGGUCCCGUCUAAAUUCUGAGCCUCAUUGUGAAUGUUUUGUUCUAACAGGUGUCUUGUUGACAGGUACAGUGGCCAGCUCUCCAUAGUGCAAUAUGAAGAAUGUUACUUGGAGGUGUCCAAAGGGCUUCAGCCUCUGCAGUUUUGAAAAGGGAUGAAGUUGAGUUCAUCUGGUUGACUUUUUGGGUGAAGUUUCAGUUGCCCCUCCCUUUGUUCAAAGGGCCUCAUCCUCUGUAAAAGAAUGAAGUUGUGUGCAUCUGCUUGACUGAGGAUUUUUUUCAAUGGAAAUGUGUUUUUUUUUUUUAUGACUUUAAUAAAUUGCUAUUAAUCUG
rnacentral:sRNA from 1 species